rnacentral:siRNA from 1 species
AGAGCCUUCUUCAUUCCGCACUCA